rnacentral:lncRNA from 1 species
GUUCCUAUCUGGUCCUAUCACCCUAUUGUCACUGCCAGGGGUUGGCCCUUUCUGGGGACUUCAUGGAGCAACUGUAUCCCAAGGAGUCACCUGAUGAUGCAACAGGCCUGCAGAGCUGGACCCCAUGUGUGUCUACUGAGCAUCCCUCUUCCCUGGAGGGCCAUGAAGUACCUAAUGGGGGCCUAUGGCUGCAGGAGGGACUCUGGGAGCAAGUAGGUAUGGGAGAAGCUGCUCUCCUCUCCAGAAUGCCUACAGUAGCAUCCAACCCAAGUCUGACGGAUGAUGGCUGCUCCUGAGUCUCCUUUCAGGAUACCCUGAGCUGAAGCUGCAUAUCUACAGUGCUGCUAGGCCUGCUGAGGUAGUAUGAGGACAUUGCCCGAUGCUUGAGCCCCUCUUCUCUUCCAGGUUUCCAAAAUGCCUUUCCAGGCUAAAACCCAUGUUGUGAUCUGCUGGCCGGGCACAACAGGAUAGAAGAGAGGUGACUCACUGUGUCUCUAGUCUAGGUCAACUUCUGCAGAAAGUCUCAAAGUCCAGAUGGAGUGACAUGAACCCAUUGGCCCAAAGGGUUGGCAAGAUGGGAGAAAUGGAGUCAACAGAUUACAAGCUACCCAGGAGCUAAAUGUCGCCUUGCUGGGUGUGGGUGAAAGAGAGCUGCCAGCUUUCAUAAUGUCUUGUUCCAAAUCCAGAAGCAACAUUUACAACUACUGGUCACAGU